rnacentral:rRNA from 1 species
AGUGAACGCUGGCGGUAGGCCUAACACAUGCAAGUCGAACGGCAGCACAGUAAGAGCUUGCUCUUACGGGUGGCGAGUGGCGGACGGGUGAGGAAUACAUCGGAAUCUACUUUUUCGUGGGGGAUAACGUAGGGAAACUUACGCUAAUACCGCAUACGACCUACGGGUGGAAGCAGGGGAUCUUCGGACCUUGCGCGAUUGAAUGAGCCGAUGUCGGAUUAGCUAGUUGGCGGGGUAAAGGCCCACCAAGGCGACGAUCCGUAGCUGGUCUGAGAGGAUGAUCAGCCACACUGGAACUGAGACACGGUCAAGACUCCUACGGGAGGCAGCAGUGGGGAAUAUUGGACAAUGGGCGCAAGCCUGAUCCAGCCAUACCGCGUGGGUGAAGAAGGCCUUCGGGUUGUAAAGCCCUUUUGUUGGGAAAGAAAAGCAGCAGGUUAAUACCCCGCUGUUCUGACGGUACCCAAAGAAUAAGCACCGGCUAACUUCGUG